AUACGUAGGGGGCGAGCGUUGUCCGGAAUGACUGGGCGUAAAGGGCGAGUAGGCGGCGGAUUAAGUCUGGAGUGAAAGUCCCGUUUUCAAGGGGGGAACUGCUUUGGAUACUGAUCAGCUUGAGUGCGGAAGAGGUAAGUGGAAUUCCCAGUGUAGCGGUGAAAUGCGUUGAGAUUGGGAGGAACACCAGUGGCGAAGGCGACUUACGGGGCCGAAACGGGCGCUGAGGCGCGAACGCUGGGGGAGCAAACAGGAUUAGAUUCCCGUGUUGACCACGCCGUUAACGAUGCAUACUACGUGUACGGGGUAUCGACACCGUCUGUGCCGCAGUUAACACAAUAAGGAUUACGCCUGGGGAGUUCGGCCGCAAGGUUGAAACUCAACGGAAUUGGCGGGG
rnacentral:rRNA from 1 species